UUCACUGAAUGUUGCUUAGAUCAAUACCACAACUUGCCGCGCUCUUCUGGGUCAUAGCUUCAGCCUUCACCCAGAUGCAAGAGGCUUCAAGAAUCAGCCUUAGCAAGGCUUUUUUUAAAAUGAUGUGUUAAAACCAACAAUGCGUGGAAUGGUUAAUGAAGAUGGCUGUGUACUGCAUUCAUGAGGCCGGAUGUCUUUCUACCAUCCACUCAUCAGACUACACCUGAAAGAGGAGGAAACGGCCAAAAGAAUAUGGUAUCGGAAUGUGUCAUCUCCAUUUCCAGCUGGAUUAACACCGGUGACAGAUGCUGGCAGGGAUCCCAACAUUGGUAUAUACAGCAAUCGCUUCAGCCGGGGCUGAAAUGCGGCCACCUCUGGGGCGGCGCAGCUGGGGAACAGCCACGCAGCUUCAUCCGGCGCUGAAAUGCAGCUGCCGACUGGCACUGCUAGAGAAUGUCUUUUAUCCCCUCUCCUGUGCAGCCACUAGGGGGAGAUAUGGUAACACAGGACUGGAAUGGCAGGGGGGCUGCAGGUGGGGAGUGAGGGGCAUUGACAGGGUGUGACGUUAUUGAUAUAAUCUGGGACCAUAUAGAACAUGGUUGCAACCAAAGUCCUGUAGUGGCACCAAAUCUUGUAAAAAGGGGGUCAAAUGAAGUUAGGGUUUGCUGGUUAUGAUUAUGCUGUCUAUAUGUGUGUCUCAAUUUUGUAGUUAAAAGUUGUGAAUAUUGGCUCUGUACUGUCUGUAUUUCAAACUUAUGCUAUGCUUCUGGGAGACAUCCCAGACAAGUUGGUGUCAGCUCUACCGCGGGGCCCUCUUGGCACGGGGCCCAUUAAGGACCAUCGGCUAUACAAUUGACCUAUGGAGAAAAGGCAAAUAUGCCUUGUAACUCAGGAACUUGCCCAUGUGACUCCAGACUCCAUUUUGCUGUAAUUUUCCACAGUAAGAACAAAGAGGUGUUCUUACACCUGGAAAAGACUAUAAAAGGCUGAUGCCUCGUCUCCAUCUUGUCUUCAAUCCUGCUUCUUACCUCUGGAGGGACUUUGCUACAAACCGAAGCUCUGAACAAAGGACUGAGGACCCAUCCCAGCAGGGGAUGUACUCCAGAGACUUGAUUUUGAACCUGCAGUUUAUUCUAUCUCUGCUACAAGCCUGAACCAAGAACUUUGCCAUUACUGUAUGUAAUUGAUUCCAUUUAACCAA